GGGAAGCGAAACCGCGAGGUAGAGCAAAUCCCAAAAACGGUACUCAGUUCGGAUUGCAGGCUGCAACUCGCCUGUAUGAAGUCGGAAUUGCUAGUAAUCGCGGAUCAGCAUGCCGCGGUGAAUACGUUCCCGGGCCUUGUACACACCGCCCGUCACACCAUGAGAGCCGGGAACACCCGAAGUCCGUAGUCUAACCGCAAGGAGGACGCGGCCGAAGGUGGGUUUGGUAAUUGGGGUGAAGUCGUAACAAGGUAUC
rnacentral:rRNA from 1 species